AUGUGGGAGACCCACAUUCAAAUCCCUGCUCCACCUGAUUCGGAGCUGAACUUUUCAUCCCAAAUCGCACAGCAAGGACUUGAACCUGGGUCUCCUAGGCUCCAGCACACACACUUCCUGAAUCAAAAAGCUCAGGUUUUGACCCGAAAAACAGACAUUUUGACACAAUUCUAUGUGGAUAAAAAUGUUCCAAAUGAUCUGUUUUUGUUCCAGUAUGGAAGGAAAACAACUCUCAAAAACUUGAAAGUUGCUGCAAAAGAGAAUUGUCCUCCUCCAGCCAGCUCUGCACUGGCAUCUGCAGAACUUUGGGGGCCACCUUGGAGCUGCUCUGAGCACACCUUGGAGUUCUUCCUGAGCCCCGCAGUUCCAGCACUGGAGCCAGUGUUCUUGUCAGUCAUCUAUAUUUUCUACAGCAUGUACCUCCCCGCUUACACCUUCCCAAGAUUUGAAGCGGAGCAACUGUCUGAAUCAGAUGGAGCCCAAAGCAGCUGCAGACUUACACUAAGGAUGUCCCCCUGCUGUUUCCUAAAGCUUGGAGGGUUGAAACGGAACUACACUCAGUGUUUGGCGGCACAGGCGUGGAAGCGCGAAGGAUCAUUACAAGGCCAAGUUCGUCAGGCCUGCAGGAUGGAGAAGGACUUAUAUAUGCAGUGCAUUUAUUUGCGUGCGGCAAACUUUUCAAAAUUGGAUGCACCCACAAAAAUCUGCAUUUGCAUAAACUAAUGGGCAUUUGCCCACACAAACUGGGUGGCUGUGCACACAAACUGGUAGUUUAGCACACAAAUGCCUGUUCACAGAAGUAAACGUGUGUUUUUCAAGGCUCACUGUUGCAGCCAUAUUUAAAAUUUGACCCAUAGUGUAUAUUUAUACUAAAUAAUUAAACUUCUUUCAAAGGCACCAACUAGUCAGCAAUUCCAAAAUGGUGAGGAGAUCUAACCAUACAAAAUCUAAUCAUACAAAACUGACUGUGUGGAAUAUUCCCACCUAUCUUGACCAAGGGAAUAAACUUCACCACUUCACCA
rnacentral:lncRNA from 1 species